rnacentral:rRNA from 1 species
GGCCCGCCGUAAUGAUUAAUAGGGACAGUCGGGGGCACCAGUAUUCAGUAGUCAGAGGUGAAAUUCUUGGAUCUACUGAAGACUAACUACUGCGAAAGCAUCUGCCAAGGAUGUUUUCAUUAAUCAGGAACGAAAGUUAGGGGAUCGAAGACGAUCAGAUACCGUCGUAGUCUUAACCAUAAACUAUGCCGACUAGGGAUCGGACGAUGUUUUCAAUUGACUCGUUCGGCACCUUACGAGAAAUCAAAGUGCUUGGGCUCCAGGGGGAGUAUGGUCGCAAGGCUGAAACUUAAAGAAAUUGACGGAAGGGCACCACCAGGGGUGGACUGCGGCUUAAUUUGACUCAACACGGGGAAACUCACCAGGUCCAGACACAAUGAGGAUUGACAGAUUGAGAGCUCUUUCUUGAUUUUGUGGGUGGUGGUGCAUGGCCGUUCUUAGUUGGUGGAGUGAUUUGUCUGCUUAAUUGCGAUAACGAACGAGACCUUAACCUGCUAAAUAGCCAGUCUGCUCAGGCAGCACGCCGGCUUCUUAGAGGGACUUCGGCUCAAGCG